rnacentral:lncRNA from 1 species
GGGGACAGAACCGGUGAGCAGCAGAGCCAAGAGAUCUACAUAUAUUUAGUUAUUUGCUCAACAAGCAGGCCUUGAAUGCCUACAGAAAAGAAUUCAAAGGCCACGUGAGAAUCAUCUUCCAGCCCCUAGCGGCUUAGAUUGUAAUUGGAAAAAUAUGGCCAACGGAAAAUAGAAGGUAAAGGUGAAACAGGAUUAAAGCAAUUUUUCAGGGCUCUAAUAAGGGUCAAAUAAGGACUUUGGUGUAUGAGAGUGGAACUUUUUCAGAGUAUAGAAUGAGCUAAUGGAUGACCAAUUCCUCAGGAUCUUCAUCCACCAAAUUAUAUGGUCUUCCUUCUCCUUGCUGUUCAUUCACAAUUGCCACUUCCAGCAUUGUUCAUGAUAUUUGUGUAUGUCAAGACCUACUGGAGGUUAGUGUCAAGUUUGAAACACUCCCUCAAAGGACACUAAAAAUUGGAGGUGUGUGUUUAUGUCUGGAAUUAUAGGACUUAACUCAUACUGGAGACUGACAAGAUUAGUGUGGUAAAUCUAUUAAGUGGAGUUC